GACGAACGCUGGCGGCGUGCCUAAUACAUGCAAGUUGAGCGCUGAAGGUUGGUACUUGUACCAACUGGAUGAGCAGCGAACGGGUGAGUAACGCGUGGGGAAUCUGCCUUUGAGCGGGGGACAACAUUUGGAAACGAAUGCUAAUACCGCAUAAAAACUUUAAACACAAGUUUUAAGUUUGAAAGAUGCAAUUGCAUCACUCAAAGAUGAUCCCGCGUUGUGUUAGCUAGUUGGUGAGGUAAAGGCUCACCAAGGCGAUGAUACAUAGCCGACCUGAGAGGGUGAUCGGCCACAUUGGGACUGCGACACGGCCCAAACUCCUACGGGAGGCAGCAGUAGGGAAUCUUCGGCAAUGGACGAAAGUCUGACCGAGCAACGCCGCGUGAGUGAAGAAGGUUUUCGGAUCGUAAAACUCUGUUGGUAGAGAAGAACGUUGGUGAGAGUGGAAAGCUCAUCAAGUGACGGUAACUACCCAGAAAGGGACGGCUAACUACGUG
rnacentral:rRNA from 1 species